CUUUUAUCGGAUCGUACCAUGUUUUGGGUACUUAUCUGUCUUCAACUUCCCAUUAAGUUGGUAAACUUACAAGUCUCUGUUUAUAUAGUUUCCUUUAGAUGUCGUACGUUAAUUGUCGGUAUCAUUAGCACAGCACGUAGGAUCGCCCACACUCAAGUAGGAGGUGCUUAGCUCUGCAGUGUUGGCAAUCUGAUCAACUAGGCUAAUCUAGGUCAGCAAACAUCACACCUACGCUACUUGAGCGACCAGUUCUUUCCCCUUCCGUUCAGUAACUUUCGAUUACAAGUUACAUAUCUGUUCCUCCAAAGUUACCUUAUGACCUUUCCUACCAACUCCCUUAGUUUCAUGGCAAAGGACAUCCGUUUUGUAUCCUUAAAUUCUUUUCAAAGCUUUCCUUUGUUAUCGCUAAUUUUGCCGAGAGUUAAUGAUAUCUGAUGUAACUGUUUGCAUUGUCAAGUACCGUCCAAUCACCGCACUCUGCACACGUGGUCAGUGCUUGUCAAUCAAACGUACUACUUGUUUUACUACAAAUAAGACCGCAUUGUAAUUCCUCAUUACUCUUCAUACCACUGACUCAGAAUAAAGGUACGACUCCGGUCAAAAGAAGUCCUCCCGACUAAUCAUUACAGAAUUAAUGACGAGUGCAGUUGUAAACAAAUUAAGCAAACACAAAACGGCAAAACGCGAGCAUUUUUGUUACUUUAUUCCCGACUGCUAUCGCAAUUUUUCGCUUUAUUUAUUUAAGUUAUGUGUCUUCACUUAAACGAGCAAAAGAGCAACUUCUGCAGAGCCAAGCUGAUGGAAUCAUAGCCGACGAGGAGUUUGUUUUGCUUUACGAUUUAAGCAAACUAGACAAUCUUGUUCCCCCGUACGAAAACUACAAAACUGUUUCACGUGGAUCUUUUGGAGGAAGAUGAGUGCUCAUCUGAAUUUAGGUUUCACAAGCGAGAUAUCCCUGCAAUAUCUGCAAAAGGAUCUCCAUUGGACAACUGUUUCGGAUUCAUCGAUGGAAAUGUAGUGAGACCUAUUUGCUGACCAAACCAGCACCAGGAGAUUGUGUACAAUGGCCUCAAACGAGUUCAUAGUAUAAAGUUCCAGUCCGUGGCUCCCGAAUGGCAUGAUAGGGAACAUGUAUGGACCAAUAGAGGGAAAACGACAUGAUGCUUUCAUGCUGCGGGAGUCUGGCCUCCCCCACGAUCUUGAGCUGCAUGCAUUCUCUAGGCCUCCUGCACCACAUCCACUAUGCCUUUAUGGAGACCCAGCAUAUCUCCUCCGCAUUCAUCUACAAGGCUCCUUCGGCAAUACAGUCCACCCCCUCAAACCACAGAUGGAAGAGUUUAAUGAAUCAAAUGGACAUCCGUGGAGUAGCUCCUUGGGGAUAUUGUAAAUUAUUUUAAGUUUAUUGAUUAAAUAAAAUUUUUAAAUUGUUCCGUCUUCAGUAAGAAAAGCUUAUAUUGUCUUUGCUCUUCUUAGAAAUGCCUUAAAUUCACUCUAUGGAAACACUACUUCUCAGAUUUUUUAUCAAGAAAACAUACUUAGAUUAAAAUACUUCUAUGUCACCAUAAUCAAAAUAAGCAUCAGAUAAAAGUUUUUUUUAACAUUUUAAUGAUAUUUUUUAAUAAUAUUAAUUUUUGCCAUAAAGAAGCAAAUAUCUUGAAUAAGGUUUAUAUUCAGAUGCGAGAAAGCCUUGCACUGGAAGAACAUCACAAAUCUGUGUAAGCUAAGAAAGUAAUAUAUUACUUCACUAUAAAUAAUAAAGUUCAAUAAAUAAUUUUCUGAAACUA